GAGUUUGAUCCUGGCUCAGAUUGAACGCUGGCGGUAUGCUUUACACAUGCAAGUCGAACGGUAACAGGGAGCUUGCUCCGCUGACGAGUGGCGAACGGGUGAGUAAUAUAUCGGAACGUACCCAAGAGUGGGGGAUAACGUAGCGAAAGUUACGCUAAUACCGCAUACGAUCUAAGGAUGAAAGCAGGGGACCUUCGGGCCUUGUGCUCCUGGAGCGGCCGAUAUCUGAUUAGCUAGUUGGUGAGGUAAAGGCUCACCAAGGCGACGAUCAGUAGCUGGUCUGAGAGGACGACCAGCCACACUGGAACUGAGACACGGUCCAGACUCCUACGGGAGGCAGCAGUGGGGAAUUUUGGACAAUGGGCGCAAGCCUGAUCCAGCAAUGCCGCGUGAGUGAAGAAGGCCUUCGGGUUGUAAAGCUCUUUUGUCAGGGAAGAAACGGUGAAGGCUAAUAUCCUUUGCUAAUGACGGUACCUGAAGAAUAAGCACCGGCUAACUACGUGCCAGCAGCCGCGGUAAUACGUAGGGUGCAAGCGCUAAUCGGAAUUACUGGGCGUAAAGCGUGCGCAGGCGGUUUUGUAAGUCUGAUGUGAAAUCCCCGGGCUCAACCUGGGAAUUGCAUUGGAGACUGCAAGGCUAGAAUCUGGCAGAGGGGGGUAGAAUUCCACGUGUAGCAGUGAAAUGCGUAGAGAUGUGGAGGAACACCGAUGGCGAAGGCAGCCCCCUGGGUCAAGAUUGACGCUCAUGCACGAAAGCGUGGGGAGCAAACAGGAUUAGAUACCCUGGUAGUCCACGCCCUAAACGAUGUCUACUAGUUGUCGGGUUUUAAUUAACUUGGUAACGCAGCUAACGCGUGAAGUAGACCGCCUGGGGAGUACGGUCGCAAGAUUAAAACUCAAAGGAAUUGACGGGGACCCGCACAAGCGGUGGAUGAUGUGGAUUAAUUCGAUGCAACGCGAAAAACCUUACCUACCCUUGACAUGGAAGGAAUCCCGAAGAGAUUUGGGAGUGCUCGAAAGAGAACCUUCACACAGGUGCUGCAUGGCUGUCGUCAGCUCGUGUCGUGAGAUGUUGGGUUAAGUCCCGCAACGAGCGCAACCCUUGUCAUUAGUUGCUACAUUUAGUUGAGCACUCUAAUGAGACUGCCGGUGACAAACCGGAGGAAGGUGGGGAUGACGUCAAGUCCUCAUGGCCCUUAUGGGUAGGGCUUCACACGUCAUACAAUGGUACAUACAGAGGGCCGCCAACCCGCGAGGGGGAGCUAAUCCCAGAAAGUGUAUCGUAGUCCGGAUCGUAGUCUGCAACUCGACUACGUGAAGUUGGAAUCGCUAGUAAUCGCGGAUCAGCAUGCCGCGGUGAAUACGUUCCCGGGUCUUGCACACACCGCCCGUC
rnacentral:rRNA from 1 species